UUUAAAUGGCCGCAGUAUACUAACUGUGCAAAGGUAGCAUAAUCAUUAGUCUUUUAAUUGAAGGCUGGUAUGAAUGGUUGGACGAGAUAUUAACUGUUUCAUAAAAAUUUAUAAUAAAAUUUUAUUUUUUAGUCAAAAAGCUAAAAUAAUAUUAAAAGACGAGAAGACCCUAUAAAUCUUUAUAUUUAGAUUAUUAGAAUUUUGUAGAUUUUUUUUAUUAUAAUAAUUAAUUAUAUUUUAUUGGGGUGAUAUUAAAAUUUAAAAAACUUUUAAUUUUUGAAAUCAUUAAUUUAUGAAGUGUUGAUCCGUUAAUAGCGAUUAAAAAAAUAAGUUACUUUAGGGAUAACAGCGUAAUUUUUUUGGAGAGUUCAUAUCGAUAAAAAAGAUUGCGACCUCGAUGUUGGAUUAAGAUAUAAUUUUAGGUGUAGCCGCUUAAAUUUUAAGUCU
rnacentral:rRNA from 1 species